rnacentral:lncRNA from 1 species
GGGGCGGGCCGACCCCACCCCACCCCGGGGCGGCGCAGGCGCAGGCGGGCUCGGGGCGCGCGGCAGGAGGGACGGCGGGCGGGCGCUCACCUGCAAGAACCAGCGCAGGGCAGGCAUGAACCGGCGAUUGAACGCCAGGAGACGAGGGCAGAGGUGGGCAGGAUCAAAGAAGAGGGGGCGAGCCAGGGCAGACAGCAGGAGGAGCCAGGGCAGACGGGGCAGUGUGAGCGGGCGCCGAGGGCAGCACCAUCUGGAGGGGCGGGAGCGCGCCUGGCCUGGGGGCAAGCGAGUGCUGAACCGAAAGGCCAGUCAGGAAUAAGCAGUGAAAGGCAGGGAGGAGCGCGGCGGGCUGAGCCCCGCGCUGCCGGAGCAGCAGCCGCAGCGCGUCGGGGUUCUCAGCUGGGGCCCGCAGCAGCUCCGCGGGCUGAAGCUCGGUGUGGAGGAGCGGGGCGGGGUGGGCCCGGCCGUGCAGGAGGAGGGCGGGGUGGGCCCGGGGCUGCAGGAGCGCGGCGGCCGCGGCCACGAGCCCAGCCGGGGGGUGGUGUGGGGUCCGCCGGACGGCGCGGACUGGGGGCGCCCUCCGCGGUGGACGGGCUCGGCGGGCUGGCCUGUGGCGCAGGAGGAGGGGCUGGGGCCCCGCGGGCAGCACCAGGAGAAGGGCGGAGGCAGCCCCGCAGUGCAGGAGCGCGGCGAGGCCCGGGCCGGGGUGCAGGAGCGCGGAGAGGGGAGCCCGCGGAGGCUGCUGCAGCAGCCCGAGCCGGCGCCCGAGGCCGGGGAAGGCCCCCGCGAGCGCGGGGAGGGGCCGGAAAGUUCCGGCGAACUGGGGGAGCGGCAGUGGGAGAGCGUGGGGCGGGAGGCGGUGGUCCUGGGGGCGGCCCCGGAGCGCCGAAGCCGCCCGGAGCUGGUGGGGAGGGCCCGGCCGGUGGGGCCUCGGGGGCCUGCGGGGGAGGGGCGCCUGGGGGUGCAGGAGGCGAAUUGGCUGCCCGGAGUGCAGGAGGGACAGGUGGUGCGGGCUGUCCAGGAAACCUACCUAGACGGAAAGGAGCCCCAGGAGGGGGAGGGACCCGGCGAGGGGCUCAGGACCCGGAGGCGCCGGCGGAGGAGGAGGUGGUGACUGGCAGACCGCCGCCCGGGCCCCACGGUGCCUCCGGAGCUGAAGGGAACGCAGGAUGUAGGGGCGUGGGGAGUCGGGCACAGAAGAGUGCGGGGAACCGGGGAGCUCUGCGAGCCACUGCCUGA